UUUUUUUUAAGUAUUGUUGAGAAGUGAUCUAUAAAUUUCUCUAGAUUGGCAAAGUGGUCUAUGACAACUAGAAGGUAAAGAACCCCUCCUCUAAAGGCUUUUUAGGGUGAGAGUCAGAGAAUGGGACUAGUAAAGGGAAGAAUAAAUGGGAACUUUAGAGCUAGUGCCUUCACCAGAUGAACCCACUCAGUCUAAGAGAAGUUCCUCCUGCAUGUUGUUAUUUUUCCUUUAUCCCUUGCCUGGGGCUCAUCCACCGCAAAGUAUGAUUUGCAUUUAACUUUACCCAAAAAAAUCAAGGCACAAACUUGUGAACUAGUUAUUUCAUUAUACCAGGACACAGUUUAGGAUUUUGAACCAAGUUACUUUUUUACAAACUACAAAGAAUGAGGAACCACCUAUUGAAUUUUUGGAGAUGACUAUAUGAACUAUAUUUGAAAGUGCAUUUAUGAAAAUUAAAUCAAUUUCGUCAUAAUAAAUUAUCUUGAAUUUGUUCUUCUUUCAGUUUAAUUUUUUGUUGUUUUCACUUUUUUAUUUUUUAUACUCGAUGAACUUAUUACAUUUAUAGUUGUACAACGAUCAUCACAAUCCAAUUUUUAGGAUUUCCAUCCCACAACCCCAAUGCAUCCCUUUCAGUUUAAUUUUAACUUGUGGAUGCUUCAUGGAAAAGGCUGAUAAACUCUGCUUUUAAGUUCAAGAGUAAUAGAUGAACUAACGAUUUGUGAGCAUUUAGUAAAUUCUGGGCACUGUGCUAAGCAUUUGUUAAGUUCCUCAGGGUCAUACAGCAGGUAAGUGAUAGAUCCUGCAGGUGAACCCAAGACAGUCUGAAUUCCAGGUCAGAGCUCUUGCAUAAUUACCUCCAUGGGGACUAAGACUGGGUCUCCUUGUUGUAUUGUUUUUGGAGUGGCUAGCUCAGUGUUUGAUAGACUUUAAGUUCACUGGCUGUUAAUUUUUUUAUUAUACCCAUCACUCCAAACAACUAACAGCACAGACAUAGGCAAAAUCACAAUCAUUCCUUCCUUCCAAUAGCACUCAAUACUGAACAACAACAAAAUGCACAGCUAUGUAGAGAAGGAGUGAGAUGAGCAUGUGCGUGGUGUGUGUGUGUGUGUGUGUCCCUGUGUGUGUGUUAUUUAUGGGAAACUCCUGUUCAUCAUUAAACUUCUUGUUGGCCUCCAUUUAUUUUUAUUAGCACAGGACCUAUAUUUCUUCUUUAAAUUAUAAUGUUCUAAAUAUUUUAAUGUGAAUAGACAUUGGAUUUUAGCCUCACUUAUCAUUUUUAUUUUUAAUUUUCACUUUGUAUCUUAUGCUAUCCUCUCUCCACAAAUUAUAUGGGCAAAUGAUAACUUGUUUAUUACUUUUGUUUCAAAUAGACUAUCCUUCCUGGAUAUAUUACUCACUUGUCUUUAUUCUUUUCUGCCCAGUGUCCUGGCAGGAAAACUACAGCUUUUGAUUUCAAAAGGCUUGCUGUUUGGUUUCCUUAGAAUUCCUACCUCCACCCUCCCUCUCCCCAGGGAAAUCUUACUUGAACAGUUCUGGCCGAAUUACCUAAAUAUUUUGAUAUCUUCCUAUUAAGCAUCUACACAGGGCAAUUACCUAAUAUGAGCAUUUUAUAAAUAAUUACAUCAAAUGCUUCUCAGAAUUCAAAUUUUAAAAUGCCCAAUCUCUUUUUAAUACUAGCAGAAUGGCUACUCAAAUUGUCUCCAACAAGUUCAUGAUGCUUAUCUUAAAUUCAGGAUGAUUAUUGAUUUCCUCUUAAUUUUUGUUCCAUGGUUUUGACGAUUCUUGACAGCCCAUUCCCAUGACAAUAUUUAGGAGGCAAUAUGCACAGAACAAUUCAAAAACAGUUCCAGGAUGUAGUCUCUAUUUCCCAGGCUAGGCCUUACUUCUUGAGAGGUCAGGUGGUAUUUCUCCAGUGGCUUCUUGAUUCAAGCAGCAUUAACUAAACCAGUGCUGUUCCCUACUCAAAGUGUGGUUCACAGAGCAGCAUCUGUAUCACCCGAGAGUUUAGAAUUCAGCCUCCACCCUGGGCCUACUGAAUCAGAAUCUGCAUUCUAGGCAGAUGCCCAGGACGGUUUUUUUUGUUUUUGUUUUUUUUAAGGUUUAAUCUAGUGCUCCUAGUGUUCCUGCUCUAAAUGAUUGGCAAGUAGGUAUUUAGGGAUACAAUAUUAAGAUGAAAUCUUCACCCACAUUUGGGCUCAAUGGGAAAGACUGAGGGAACUGACAAAUGAGAGUAUGUUUACCUUAGCCAUGGGGUUACUGCCUCACCAUUCCAAAUCUGUCCUAAUUGAUCUUCAUCUUCUUCUCCUCUAUCCAUCAGCAUUAUUCUGAAUUCCUACAACCCAUAGUUUCUAAUUUGGUCAGGACAAACUCUGCAUUGCUCUGCAAGUGCUGUGUGUCUGUACUUAUUGUAUUAGGAGUCCACUAGGAAUACAGAACCAAUAGGAUGGAGAAACAGAACCCACAUGGAAUUUAUUAUAAGGAAGUGUCUCCUGUGAUUAUGGAGGCUGGCGAGUCCCCUAGGAUCAGCAGGGUGAGUCGGCACACUGAAGACCCACCCUAGAAAGCUGAUGGUUUUCCAGGACAAGUCUGAAGGCAUGAGAAUCAGGAGAGAAGAUGGUUUAAGUUCCAGUGCAAAGACUGGCAGACUCAAGACUCAGGAAGAGUUAAUGAUUCAGUUUGAGUGCAAGGGCAGGAAAAAGCCUAUGUCUCAGUUUGAAAGCAAUCAAGAAGGAAGAAUUCGCUCUUACUUGGGGGAGGGUCAGCUUUUUUGGUCUAGUUAGCCCUUCAACUGGUUGGGUAGGCCCACCCACAUUAGGGAGGGCAAUCCUCUCCACUCCGUCUACUGAUUUAAACUUUAAUGUCAUCUAAAAACACCCAUACAAUAAAAGCCAGAAAAUAUUUGACCAAAUAUCUGAGCGCUCUGUGGACCCGUUGAGUUGACACAUAAAAUUAACCAUGACACUUAACCAUGUUCUCACCUCCUGGAAUACCUCAAUUCCACCACAUACCUUUCAAGUCAUAGCUCAAGCCUGUUUUCCAAGUUUUCCUAAAUUCUUUUCCUUGAUUUCCUCCUUGUCUCAACUACUUAUCAUACUCAGUCAAUACCAAGUGCUAGUCUGGGCAAUUUACUACCUUGUGUUUUCUACUCUUGUUUUGUUGUAUUAGACUUGUCUCUAUCCAACUGGUGGUGUCAUAAAAGUGGGAAUCUUGUUACAUUUUUUACUGAAAACCUCACCAUGCUCAAUGCUCCUUAAAUUUUGGCUAAGUGAUUUAAAAAUAAUAAUAAUAAUAACCAAAAAACAAAAUAAAUUUGUUUUCCCAGUGAAGUUCAUUAAAAAACUUAUCUUAGUACUUUUACUAAUUAGAAGAUUCUAGAAUAUCCUUUCUAUAAAAGGUACUUGCCAUUGAAAUGAGCAUUUUUUUGAAAAUUUUACAAUGAUUUUUAUUUUUUCCAUUAUAGCUCAUUUACAGUAUUACAUGUGUACUAACUAGGACCUUCUUGGAAAUAGCCAUGGUGUUGAAUUUUAAUUGUACCAUUUAUUGAGUACAAAAAAGUGACACCAGAUUAGUUUGUCUUAAUUUAGAUUCCCAUAGUGACAUAAGUUUGGCUGAAAACGCAUUGGGAUAUGGUAUGUUCACACAUGUAGCCUACAUGAUCUUGAGGAGGCAGCAGUUAAAUUGUAAUGUCCUAAAUCUACCGUUGCUGGGCUGUUGGGAGGAGGAUAAUGACAUGACACAGGAAGACCAUGGUGCUGCCCCAUGAGAAUGUUUAUUUUCAGCUCUGAGUGCACACAGACUGUGAUUCCUCUCACCCACCCAGAGGAGUUGGUUCACGUCAACAAAUCACAGAUUGACCCUGGUAGGGGAGAUGAGACUGGGACGACACCAGCGUCUACAACUCUGAGAAGCUGGUGAUGCUUCCCUGAAGACGGUCAUUAGUUCUCUUGAGACCAGCUGGAGGGGAGCAUGUGGAGGGACAGGCAGGAGAUAAGUGAAGGGAACAGUGGGUCUCUGUCCUUAAGACCAGAUUGUGAUCAUCAAUGAGUCUCCCAGCUGGGUAGCGAUGUGUGUCAUCACAGCAGCAAUCAGAGGUAGGCUGGCCACCUUCAUUCUGGCCAUGACAUGGAAACAUUUGCUUUCUAUUCUUUAAUAAACUAAUUCCCAAGCCCAUGCCUCUUUCCCGAGAAUGUUUCCCUCUUAUAAACUUUACUCUUACCUACCUAGAUUGUCUACACUUAAAGGAAUAAAGAGAACACUUUUCUGUUUAUCAUGGGGCUUGGGGAGACCUGCUCUAAAAUUCACCAUGCCUGUAUCAAGAGUACAAAUGGAAGUCUAUAUAUUAUAUGCCUGAAAGUUUAAAAGUUUAAGCCAAUAAGUUCUUGCAUGAGAUAUGUCCCAACCUACAUCCUUGACCUAGGAACCUAGGCCUUUAAAUACAGUUCUGUCCACAACAGCAACAACUACCCUUUGUCACUAUCUCAUGCACAGUCUACCCUUUGGAGGAUGGUUAAGACAAAGAUGCCAGUACAGAUCCAAUACACUCAGUGUCUGAUGGGUGGGGAAUUUUAGGAUCUCUGAAAAUCAAAAUCUUAGAAGUGGAGUCACAAACCCAGUGGAAAGCGACAUGGCCAGGGGAGAGUUUGAGUCAAAUCUUUCUGGAAAGGCCCAGAGCCGGGGAUUCUUUUCCACAGGUCUAAGGGCAGUGCUGAGGCCUGGGGUGGGAGGCAGAAGAGGACUCUUGCACAUUAGUACAAAACUUCUGCAACUGCACAGCAGAGAAAAUGCAGCGACUACAACCGGUGGAAAACUCACAUGUGUACUACUCAGGUCAGAGAGGUAAAAGUUGCAGUCUUGGGAAAUUUCCACACAAACAGUCAUCUGGUAUUUUCAGCUGAUAUUGGAAAGAACUCAAGUCCUUCACACAGAGCAACUGGGACAAACUCCGUACAUAAAAAGUGUCCUUGGUGUCAACUGCAUAAAUAAGAAUUCAGGCUUUCCUGUGAUAUUUCCUAAAGCCCCCGAAGCAAAAUGCAGACUCCCAGAACAACCAGGGUAGGAUACAGAGAAAAAGAUUAUUGCCAGAAUCUAGAGAAAGAAGAAUCCAGACCAUCCUAAGUCAGAAAUUGCUCUUGGUUACAGAUCUAUGGUAUGUUCAUGAUUCACUGAAAAACAAAAUGUAUAUAGUUCUUUCAGAGACAGGGUUGAGUCAUUCUGAAUAUAUCCUGUUGUUAUCUAUAUGAAGUCUUUUAGGUCAUCAUGUUUAUAGGUAGUCAUGCCAGCCCAGGAGAGCCCUUCCUAUACCAGCUGAGGAGGAAGAGUUGUGUCCUCUCUUUCCAUUCCUGCCUUCAGUGACUUCAGGAUGGGAUUGUUUGAAAUUAGCAUUGGUGGGAGCAUUUUCUAACACCAGAGAAAGCCACGAAUACUACAAAUCAGGGCUGUCUUCUCCUAGAGAGCCUUCGUUAUAAAUUUACAAGCACACAACUGUACCUAAGCCCAAAGUGGGCAAAAAUAACAGAUAAGUAUUUUUCUUCUUCAUAAUGCUAGUUUCUGAGUAGGCUACAUAUUUAUUACACAAAUAACCAUAAUUAUAUGCUUGUAUCUAAACCUUAUAUCAAAAUAUAUUUGUCCCCAUUUUAGAUUUUGUUUUCAAUGAUGGUGAAUGAGAAAUGUCAGUAUUUAAAAAGCAUCAGAAUUAUCUCCCAAUUACUUUAUCCCAGUAUGAUUUUAUUUUACUUAUAAAGCUUUUUUUUUUUUUUUUUAUUAACCCUGCACCCAUGGCAUGUGGAAGUUCCUGGGCCAGGGAUCAAACCCAUGCCACAGCAGAGACAACUGCCAGAUCCUUAACUGCUAGGCCACCAGGGAACUUCCCAAUAUGAUUUUGAAAGGAUAAUUUAUUGCCCAGGAAGGUAAUAAAGAUUAGUUCUGUGUUUAGGAAAAAGGAAAAAAAAAUUAUUCUGCACCUGGUCAGAAAGUGCUACUUAGCUUUUGAGAAUCAUCUUGCAGAGCACAAAGGCAUUCUCAUGUUGCUGGUCUUACUCUGGGGCUUGUUUUCUGAAACUGCCUAGAGCAUCAAAUCCAAAAAAACAGGUGUGUGUGCCUUUCCUAUGGGAGUCUGUCAUCCCUUUGGUUCCCCUCUCCUGUAAGAAAUUUAAAAAGUCAAGUUUCCUCCUUCGAGUCACGCUUCAACACGCCAAGGGCGGACACGGCACACCUGCUCCACCUUCACCACCCAUCACUCAUCAUCAGUGGGAAAGCAGGCAUGGAGAGGGAAGGGCGAGGGUGAUCAUCAGCCACCUGAAGAACUGGGCACAGCCUCCUCGGUCGUUUUCUGUGUCUGAAGGCAUAAAGUUACAAAAUUUGGAAAAGUCAGAACUGCAGGGCAAACUAGCUGCAUAAGCCCUUUACUGGGAAUAGGAAUGGAAAAGAGUGUUUACAGUUUGUCAGCUCCCAGCACAGUUUGGAGAAUACUAAACACAGGUGCCAUUACUCCAGCCUUGUUCUGAUUUAUUUGCAACAUCUGUGGAGAAAACCACAGACUAGAAAGAAAUUACCUUGACAACUUCUUUUACCCAAAGAGCUGUUGUAAUUUCUCAAUGUUCUGGUCUAUAUGCGUCCCAAAAACACAUUUGUGGAGUUGAAUUGGAAAGUUUCUCAUUUGAAUUGACUAUAAGAGUUCUGACCUGGCUGGAGUUAAUUUGUCUACUGGAAAGUAAAUAAUUUGCUUUCUAAUGAAAUUUUAAAGAACAAGUAUCUUCUUUGGAGUAAGCACUAUAGUAUAGACACCCAUCAAUUUACUGUGGCAGGAUUAAUGAUGGCCCCCAAAGAGGUCCACAUCCUAAUCUCCAGAACUUGUGAACACGUGAUGUUACAUGGCUGAAGGGACUUUACAGGCGUGACUAACUUAAAGAUCUUGAGAUGGGGAGAGUGUUCUGAAUUACCCAGGUGGGCCCAAUGCAGUUACAAGAGUCUUAUAAGAGGAAGAGAAGGGAAUCACAGAGAGUCAAUGUUGUCCUGCUGAAGACGCAGCAAGGGGUCUGGAGCCAAGAAGUAGGAGUAGUUUCUGCAAGCUGGAAAAAAGCAGAGAGAUGCAUUCUCCCCUAGAGCCUCCAGAAGGAAUACACACCCGCUGACACCUUAACUUCAGCCCUGUGGGAGACAAUUUGGACUUCAGACCUCCAGAACUGGUUGCCAAGAACUUUAAAAAGAGAGAGAAGGAGUGCAACGAUGCAUGUGCCUUUUUUUGUAGACAGCUUGGAUAGUUCCACGAGCUGUUGAAGAGUCGAAAAGCAAAUAAACGUCAACAGUUCUGAAUCCCAACAUUGUUUAAUGACAACCUUCCCAUGUUUGCCAACUUGCUGCUUAACAACAAUCCUGUUGACACUGUGUGAAAAGCUUUCCAGGUCCUCCCAGUGAAAGCUGAAACAGAAGCAAGGUCCGGAAUUGAUGACAUGUAACCUAAGCCUUCUCUGUGGAAGAAUCUGGAACAUAUCUACCUAUGUUUGAAUCUUGCCUCACCCACUUACCUAGGUGUGUGAGUGGACACUUAAACCUCUCUGUGCCUCAGUUCCUCCAGUGGUGAAUAAUAUUAUCUACCUCAUAGCAUCAUAAGGGUUAAGUGAGUUUAAUGUAAGUAAAGCACCUAGAAUAGUGCCUGGCACAUACCAACGACUCUCCACUCUUAGCUGGUAACCACUGAGUCUUGCUUCCUUGGUGAUUUCUCUAGCUCAUGUGUCUACAACCUUUAGAUUAUCUAAAGGUAUCUCGAAACUAACAGGUCUACAGAAGAACUCAAAUUUUUGACCUUCAUCACAUUGUGUCUCCAACUUUCUUAAACCGCCCUUUAGGUCUAUCACACCCAUGGCCAAGCUUUCAGCAAAAGCCUGUCAGUUCAACCUACAAGAGGUAUCCAAAUUUGACCAUUUCUCAUGAUCUCCACUGCACUUACCAUGGGUGCAAACAAACAACUCUUUCUUAAACAAUUGGAGAAGCAUCCCACUGAUUUCUUGGCUCCCAUCCUCCCUUCCUUCCUAUAUUUCAUCCAGAAUCGUUCCUUUAAAUUGUGACCUUUUAUCAUGUUACUCCUUUGCUGAAGACCCUCUAAUCAUAUUUCAUCUCACUCAGAGUAAAGCUUAAAUCCUGGCACAGCUUUUCAGGUGACAUCUUAUCUGGCCCCACUACCCUGUGUAUCACCUCUUUCUCUCUCCCCUCUGCUCCAACCUCUGAUUUCUUCAGAUAGCUCGCAUGCUAUUCUGCUCCUUCAAGGCUCUUUUCACAAAUAUCAGGAUGGCUUGUGCUCCUCCUUUCCUUCAGGUCUCUUAUCUAAUAAUAGGCCUUCCUUCCCUGUCCACCACAUGGAAACAGCAUCCAUUUCCCUCCUCACCGUAUACUUUUUGCCACUUCACUUUACUUUUCUUCCUUACACUAAUCACCACCUGAUAUAUUAUCUAUUUGUCUUUCUCCUUGAGAUCAGAGGUUUUUCCAUUCAGGCUGUACCCCAAGGGCCUAGAACAGUAUUUGGCAAAUCAUAGGGGCUCCAUAAACAUUGAAUAAAUUAAUGAAAUUGUGUCAUUGUCUAAGGAUGACUUCUUGGGACCCUCAUUUGAGUGACUGGAUGUCCCACUUCAAAUGGAUUUGCGUUUGCAUGCAUUUUAUGGGUCUGUGAAAUAUUUUAAGAUUGAGUUAAAAGGGUUUUUUUUUUUUUUUCCUUUUUUCCUAUUUUCCUCUGGAGAUUUGGACACUCUUCCUCUUACUCGCUUGUUCAGAGCCAAUCAAUGUCACCCUUUAGUCUGCCAAAGUGGUUGCUGAGUGACGAGGCAUUUCAUCCCUGGGGAAGCUUAAAGUAUCGCUGGUGCAGUUGCUGCUGGCUAUGAGUGAAAAUCUGUGCUUGAUCAACCAAGAUCCCUAGUAGGGAGCACAGGCAAGGGAAGUUCAGACUCUGGGUCACCUCAGAGGUUCUUUCAAGCCUUCCCUUCAAUACCCAUGCAGAUUUUUAGUGCUUAUGAAACCAAGGCACCCCAGAGAGUUUGCUAUGUAGUCUAAUACACUGAAGGAUCCCUACUGAGCUUCAACCACAGCUCUGCAGAGAGAUCUGGGUCUCUCUGAUGACUAAGCUCAUCAUAUUCAUUUAUAACUUAAAUUCUAAUAAAAUAUUAUUGAACCAAGAGAAAUAUCCCUUGUGGAUUUCACUGUUAUAGCUGGAGCAGUAAAGAAUUAGGCUUUUUCUCAUUAAAAUGACUUUUCUUUUCAUGCCAUAGAGCCAAUAUAAUGAUUGUUUAGCAAUGCAGUGGCUUUACUCUGCUUGGCUACUGUAACAUGAUAACAAAGACUAAGUGAUUUUAAUAAGAGACAUUUAUUUCUCACAGUUCUGGAGGCUGGGUAGUCCAAGAUCAAGGUACGCGCACAGAAUUAGUUCCUGGUAAGAGCCAGCUUUUGACUGUGUGCUCACAUGGCCUUUCCUCUGAGCAUCUUCCUGGAAAGACAGAGGGACUGAGAGAGAGAGCUCUUGUCUUUUCUUAAAAGGGCACUAAUCUCAUCAGGAGGGUCCCACACCUAUGACCAAAUUUAAGCCCAACUACCUACCAAAGGCCCCACCUCCAAAUACCAUCACAUUGAAGACUGAGGCUUCAGUAUGGGACACUCAGCCCAAAACAGUGAUUAAAAAUUUUGAAAUCAGAGUGACCUGGAUUUAAAUCUUGACUGAGAUCAUUUCAUUAGAGUUCAUUUAGGUAAGUUACCCAACUUUUCUAAGCCUCUAUGCUUUUAAAAUCUGUGCAAUGGACAGUCUGCUACUUCACUGAAGUCUUACUAGCAAUCUAGCAAAUCAUAACUAUAGAUCAAGUGUUUAGAUGAUGACUGUCAUUUUUAUCUUUUAAAUCCCUCCCUUUACCUUAUAUAAAUCCUUGAAAAUGCUCAGAAAAGUAUUCUACUUAUAAAGAAAUAUGACAGUUUUAUUUCUGACUGAUUAAAAUGUAAAAUGCAUUAUCCCCUCUCACAAUAGAAAAUGGCUUUAUAGGUUCUUAAGCUCUUAUUUUAAGGUGCCAAUUUUCAUAUUACAUAGGAAAUGUAUCAAGUAUUAUUUUAAAAACAUAAAAGGAAAUAAAGUAUUAUUUUGCAAAAACUUUAUACUUUAUUAUAGCUUAUUUUUAAUCAAUAUAAAAAUAGAAAGUAAAUGUCUCUGAUAAAUAUAUAUACAUUCUUUAUACAUUUUUAUUUGUGUAAAGAAUCUAGCUAAGUUCUUAGCAUAUUUGUAGAUGUUAAGACAUGUUUAACUUCCCUAACUUCUCCAAUAUCUACCUAAACUUUAACAUAACUUAAGCUUUAUGGAAAAACCUGGGACAAAAAUGUUAGCAUUCUAAUCUUUUACAUAUUAGUUUCCAUUUUAAACAUUUCUAAUAUUAUAACUUUUUUCAUCUGCUUGACCUCCACAAUUUCUAGUGUAGAUAGUAAGAGCUGUGAGUACCUACAUUCUAUUGCCCAGAGUGAUGCUUUUAAAUUGUUAAUCAGUUAGGUUUUUGUUUUUGUUUUGGAUAAAAUGUUCACUGUCAGAUUCAGUCAUUUAUUAAUUAAGCCCAAAUUUAUUAAGAGCCUGCUGUGUACCAGGCACUACACUCACUAGGCAGUGGGUAUAUUGAGGUGAGGUGAAUAAGAGGUAAGGUCUCUCAUGGAGGCAGAUUAAAUUCUAAUGUAGAAUGACAGAUAAUAAACAACCAACACAAUUUUGGAUUUUCAAGAGUCCUAGAGGAGGCCAAAGAAUAGUCAACAAAGGCAGUUAUACAUUCUUUUAGAUAGUGGGAAGCAUCCCAAAUGUAGUGCCAUCUGAACUGAAACCUGAAAUUUGAAGUAACUGGUCAGGUAAAAAAAAAAAA